CGUAGUCGAUGGGAAACGGGUUAAUAUUCCCGUACUUGGUGUUACUGCGAAGGGGGGACGGAGAAGGCUAUGUUGGCCGGGCGACGGUUGUCCCGGUUUAAGCGUGCAGGUGUGUGUUCCAGGUAAAUCCGGUUCACUUUAACACUGAGGCGUGAUGACGAGGCACCACGGUGCUGAAGCAACAAAUGCCCUGCUUCCAGGAAAAGCCUCUAAGCCUCAGGUAACAUCAAAUCGUACCCCAAACCGACACAGGUGGUCAGGUAGAGAAUACCAAGGCGCUUGAGAGAACUCGGGUGAAGGAACUAGGCAAAAUGGUGCCGUAACUUCGGGAGAAGGCACGCUGACACGUAGGUGAAGUGGUUUACCCAUGGAGCUGAAGUCAGUCGAAGAUACCAGCUGGCUGCAACUGUUUAUUAAAAACACAGCACUGUGCAAACACGAAAGUGGACGUAUACGGUGUGACGCCUGCCCGGUGCCGGAAGGUUAAUUGAUGGGGUCAGCGCAAGCGAAGCUCCUGAUCGAAGCCCCGGUAAACGGCGGCCGUAACUAUAACGGUCCUAAGGUAGCGAAAUUCCUUGUCGGGUAAGUUCCGACCUGCACGAAUGGCGUAAUGAUGGCCAGGCUGUCUCCACCCGGGACUCAGUGAAAUUGAACUCGCUGUGAAGAUGCAGUGUACCCGCGGCAAGACGGAAAGACCCCGUGAACCUUUACUAUAGCUUGACACUGAACACUGGUCCUUGAUGUGCAGGAUAGGUGGGAGGCUUUGAAGUGUGGACGCCAGUCUGCAUGGAGCCAUCCUUGAAAUACCACCCUUUAAUGGCUGGUGUUCUAACGUGGGCCCGUGAACCGGGUUGCGGACAGUGUCUGGUGGGUAGUUUGACUGGGGCGGUCUCCUCCUAAAGAGUAACGGAGGAGCACGAAGGUUGGCUAAUCCUGGUCGGACAUCAGGAGGUUAGUGCAAUGGCAUAAGCCAGCUUGACUGCGAGCGUGACGGCGCGAGCAGGUGCGAAAGCAGGUCAUAGUGAUCCGGUGGUUCUGAAUGGAAGGGCCAUCGCUCAACGGAUAAAAGGUACUCCGGGGAUAACAGGCUGAUACCGCCCAAGAGUUCAUAUCGACGGCGGUGUUUGGCACCUCGAUGUCGGCUCAUCACAUCCUGGGGCUGAAGUAGGUCCCAAGGGUAUGGCUGUUCGCCAUUUAAAGUGGUACGCGAGCUGGGUUUAGAACGUCGUGAGACAGUUCGGUCCCUAUCUGCCGUGGGCGCUGGAAGAUUGAGGGGGGCUGCUCCUAGUACGAGAGGACCGGAGUGGACGCAUCACUGGUGUU
rnacentral:rRNA from 1 species